GUCACAGGUAUUUAAAAGAGAGGAAACAGUUCGGAGCUCCAUUGGCUGCUUUCCAGUUAAAUCAACAGAAGCUUGUUCAGAUGUUGAGCAACAUUCAGGCUAUGCUUCUUGUUGGAUGGCGUCUUUGCAAGUUGUAUGAGAGUGGUAAAAUGACUCCCGGUCAGGCUAGCUUGGGGAAGUCAUGGAAUACCUUGAGGGCUAGAGAGACCGUUUCUCUUGGACGGGAAUUACUUGGUGGUAACGGUAUCUUGACCGACUUCUUAGUGGCAAAGGCAUUCUGUGACUUGGAGCCCAUCUAUACGUUCGAGGGUACCUAUGAUAUCAACACUCUAGUAACAGGUAGAGAAAUUACAGGUCUUCCUAGCUUCAAGCCAGCACCAUUGAGGCCACAGAGUCGUCUGUAAAAUGCUUCAACCAUCUUCCUAUUCUCUGGAAAUUGUUCUGCUGAAUUCAGUGCACAUUAGAAUACUUGUGCAAAAAAAAUUGAACAAACUUGAGGAUGUUUAAUCUCUUCUAAUUUCCAGGAUCAUUAUCAUAAAUAAGUCUGAGAAUAAAGUUAACAUUGUUAUAUGUGAACAUGUUCA
rnacentral:misc_RNA from 1 species